rnacentral:rRNA from 1 species
GACGAACGCUGGCGGCGUGCUUAACACAUGCAAGUCGAACGGUAAGGCCCCUUCGGGGGUACACGAGUGGCGAACGGGUGAGUAACACGUGGGUGAUCUGCCCUGCACUCUGGGAUAAGCCUGGGAAACAGGGUCUAAUACCGGAUAUGAGCUCCUGUCGCAUGGCGGGGGUUGGAAAGGUUUACUGGUGCAGGAUGGGCCCGCGGCCUAUCAGCUUGUUGGUGGGUAAUGGCCUACCAAGGCGACGACGGGUAGCCGGCCUGAGAGGGCGACCGGCCAUACUGGGACUGAGACACGGCCCAGACUGCUACGGGAGGCAGCAGUGGGGAAUAUUGCACAAUGGGCGAAAGCCUGGUGCAGCGACGCCGCGUGAGGGAUGACGGCCUUCGGGUUGUAAACCUCUUUCAGCAGGGACGAAGCGAGAGUGACGGUACCUGCAGAGAAGCACCGGCCAACUACGAGCCAGCAGCCGCCGUAAGAC